UCCGGUUUAUCACCGGCAGUCUCUCUAGAGUGCCCAACUUAAUGCUGGCAACUAAAGACAAGGGUUGCGCUCGUUGCGGGACUUAACCCAACAUCUCACGACACGAGCUGACGACAACCAUGCACCACCUGUCAUUCUGUCCCCGAAGGGAACGUCUAAUCUCUUAGAUUGGCAGAAGAUGUCAAGUCCUGGUAAGGUUCUUCGCGUAGCAUCGAAUUAAACCACAUGCUCCACCGCUUGUGCGGGUCCCCGUCAAUUCCUUUGAGUUUCAACCUUGCGGUCGUACUCCCCAGGCGGAAUGCUUAAUGCGUUAGCUGCGGCACUGAAAGGCGGAAACCUUCCAACACCUAGCAUUCAUCGUUUACGGCAUGGACUAC
rnacentral:misc_RNA from 1 species